UACGGAGGAGGCUAGCGUUGUUCGGAAUUACUGGGCGUAAAGCGCGCGCAGGCGGUUAUGCAAGUCAGGGGUGAAAGCCCGAGGCUCAACCUCGGAACGGCCUUUGCGACUGCAUGACUAGAGACCGGGAGAGGAGAGUGGAAUUCCCAGUGUAGAGGUGAAAUUCGUAGAUAUUGGGAAGAAUACCAGUGGCGAAGGCGGCGACCUGGGCCAAUACUGACGCUGAGGUGCGAAAGCGUGGGGAGCAAACAGG
rnacentral:rRNA from 1 species